AACGAACGCUGGCGGCAGGCCUAACACAUGCAAGUCGAGCGAGGACUUCGGUUCUAGCGGCGGACGGGUGAGUAACGCGUGGGAAUGUGCCCUUCUCUACGGAAUAGCCCUGGGAAACUGGGAGUAAUACCGUAUACGCCCUAUUGGGGAAAGAUUUAUCGGAGAAGGAUCAGCCCGCGUUGGAUUAGGUAGUUGGUGGGGUAAUGGCCUACCAAGCCGACGAUCCAUAGCUGGUUUGAGAGGAUGAUCAGCCACACUGGGGCUGGGACACGGCCCAGACUCCUACGGGAGGCAGCAGUGGGGAAUCUUAGACAAUGGGUGCAACCCUGAUCUAGCCAUGCCGCGUGAGUGAUGAAGGCCUUAGGGUUGUAAAGCUCUUUCAGCUGGGAAGAUAAUGACGGUACCAGCAGAAGAAGCCCCGGCUAACUCCGUG
rnacentral:rRNA from 1 species